rnacentral:rRNA from 1 species
CCUACGGGAGGCAGCAGUGGGGAAUUUUGGACAAUGGGCGCAAGCCUGAUCCAGCAAUGCCGCGUGCAGGAUGAAGGCCUUCGGGUUGUAAACUGCUUUUGUACGGAACGAAACGGUCUGCUUUAAUACAGUGGGCUAAUGACGGUACCGUAAGAAUAAGCACCGGCUAACUACGUGCCAGCAGCCGCGGUAAUACGUAGGGUGCGAGCGUUAAUCGGAAUUACUGGGCGUAAAGCGUGCGCAGGCGGUUAUAUAAGACAGAUGUGAAAUCCCCGGGCUCAACCUGGGACCUGCAUUUGUGACUGUAUAGCUAGAGUACGGUAGAGGGGGAUGGAAUUCCGCGUGUAGCAGUGAAAUGCGUAGAUAUGCGGAGGAACACCGAUGGCGAAGGCAAUCCCCUGGACCUGUACUGACGCUCAUGCACGAAAGCGUGGGGAGCAAACAGGAUUAGAUACCCUGGUAGUCCACGCCCUAAACGAUGUCAACUGGUUGUUGGGUCUUCACUGACUCAGUAACGAAGCUAACGCGUGAAGUUGACCGCCUGGGGAGUCGGCCGCAAGGUUGAAACUCGAAAGGAUUGACGGCNGAGAGNGCGAGACGACGACGAGGGAGGAGG